rnacentral:rRNA from 1 species
UACGAAGGGGGCUAGCGUUGCUCGGAAUCACUGGGCGUAAAGGGUGCGUAGGCGGUCGGGUAAGUCGGAUGUGAAAUCUCAGGGCUCAACCCUGAACUGCAUUCGAUACUGCCUGGCUAGGGUACUGGAGAGGAGACUGGAAUUUACGGUGUAGCAGUGAAAUGCGUAGAUAUCGUAAGGAAGACCAGUGGCGAAGGCGAGUCUCUGGACAGUUACCGACGCUGAGGCACGAAGGUCAGGGGAGCAAACGGG